rnacentral:rRNA from 1 species
AGUCGAGCGCCCCGCAGGGGAGCGGCAGACGGGUGAGUAACGCGUGGGAAUCUACCCUUUUCUACGGAAUAACGCAGGGAAACUUGUGCUAAUACCGUAUAAGCCCUUUGGGGGAAAGAUUUAUCGGGAAAGGAUGAGCCCGCGUUGGAUUAGCUAGUUGGUGGGGUAAAGGCCUACCAAGGCGACGAUCCAUAGCUGGUCUGAGAGGAUGAUCAGCCACAUUGGGACUGAGACACGGCCCAAACUCCUACGGGAGGCAGCAGUGGGGAAUAUUGGACAAUGGGCGCAAGCCUGAUCCAGCCAUGCCGCGUGAGUGAUGAAGGCCCUAGGGUUGUAAAGCUCUUUCACCGGUGAAGAUAAUGACGGUAACCGGAGAAGAAGCCCCGGCUAACUUCGUGCCAGCAGCCGCGGUAAUACGAAGGGGGCUAGCGUUGUUCGGAAUUACUGGGCGUAAAGCGCACGUAGGCGGACAUUUAAGUCAGGGGUGAAAUCCCGGGGCUCAACCCCGGAACUGCCUUUGAUACUGGGUGUCUAGAGUAUGGAAGAGGUGAGUGGAAUUCCGAGUGUAGAGGUGAAAUUCGUAGAUAUUCGGAGGAACACCAGUGGCGAAUGCGGCUCACUGGUCCCUUACUGACACUAAUGUGCGAAAGCGUGGGGAAGCAAACAGGAUUACAUACCCUGGUAGUCCCCCCCCGUUUACGAAAAAUAGUUAUCCGUCGGGGAAUAUACUGUUCCGUGGCGCACCUGGUUCAUUACACAAAUCCGCCCGGGGGUUACCGUCGCACGAUUAAUACUCCUAGGAAUUUACAGAGGGCCCGCACCCCCAGUGGUAGGGUGUUGUUUGAUUCUAACCACCGGGNNUANNCCUCCNAAC